rnacentral:rRNA from 1 species
AUUGAACGCUGGCGGCAGGCCUAACACAUGCAAGUCGAGCGGUAGCACAGAGAGCUUGCUCUCGGGUGACGAGCGGCGGACGGGUGAGUAAUGUCUGGGAAACUGCCUGAUGGAGGGGGAUAACUACUGGAAACGGUAGCCAAUACCGCAUAACGUCGCAAGACCAAAGUGGGGGACCUUCGGGCCUCAUGCCAUCAGAUGUGCCCAGAUGGGAUUAGCUGGUAGGUGGGGUAACGGCUCACCUAGGCGACGAUCCCUAGCUGGUCUGAGAGGAAGAACAGCCACAAUGGAACUGAGACACGGUCCAGACGCCUACGGGAGGCAGCAGUGGGGAAUAUUGGACAAUGGGCGCAAGCCUGAUGCAGCCAUGCCGCGUGUGUGAAGAAGGCCUUCGGGUUGUAAAGCACUUUCAGCGGGGAGGAAGGCACUAAGGUUAAUAACCUUAGUGAUUGACGUUACCCGCAGAAGAAGCACCGGCUAACUCCGUGCCAGCAGCCGCCGCCGUAA